CGCUACUUGUGCUCUGGCUGAGAUAAACGGUGAAGAAUAUUCAUUCCGUCCGCGUGCGAAGACUUGAGCAGUUGGCGGUUCGAAGACUGGGGUCAUCAAGAAGACGACUGGACACGAUACACGUGGAGAAUUCAUCUCAGCCUGUGUGCUGAAUUCUCAUAAAUACGUUGAUAUAGUGAAUAAAAUGUUCUUGUUUGUGUCUGUUAUGGUGUGAGACUUGUAUUUUGUAGUUAUGUUCUGUGGAAUCCAAUAAACUUGGUUUUUAUA